CCUGAACACCCUAGUCCACAACCCGUCUCUCCCUGCAAAUGCCUGGAGCUCUUAUUUCCUCGUCACUCGCACAGACACACGCACUGCCGUGAACGGACGUGUCUUCUCUGUAACCGCAGAUAGACUCCGUGAAAGCAGGGAUCAGAACUCCUAUAGCAGAACCUCGGCUUUCUGGAACCUCAGAAACUGAGUCCCCCUGAAUAAGUCAUUCUCAGGCUCACUUCACAUGAUCAUUUCCAAUUUGAGAACCACCUUCGUUUCACGAGUUUGGAUGCAAAUAUUGUUCAUGCAGUUGGGCUACAGACAAGCACGGAAUGACUGCCCAUACCAGGCCCUGGGCUGAGCACAGAGGAUGGAAAUGGCAAAUGACAGAUCCUGUUCUCCAAGCGCCUUGCCCGGCAUCCCAGCAGAGGGAGAGAGGAGAGUCUUUCAGCCGCCGGGAGCCAGAAGCUCUCCAGAUUCCUCCAGUCUGAGACAUCAGGAAGAACAUGUGAAGUUGGCUCAGAAAGAAAUUUGAGAAAAAUCUGUGUCCGUCUGCCACCCGGCCUUCAGUCAGCCGAACGUUGCUCAGUCAGGGUACGCGAAGCCGAAGAAAUAAUGGAAAAGCGCAGAAAACUUCAUCCCAACCCACACUGCUGAUCAUUUUCCAAAACAGCGUUCUUGCCAAAUGGGCUUUUGGCUUCAUCCUCUUGCUGCUUUCUUGCUCAUUGCUUAGAAGAGGCGUUUUGGCAGGAAAAGGAAUCCACGGUGUGAGUCUGACGUGACAUUCCCGUUCUGAUGGAGACAACGGCAUGGGAAACAAACACUGAGAAACAGGUAGGGCUCACCUAGUGUUCUCUUUGCAAGGCGUUUCCGCCCCAAACACCUGUCCUCUUGUCACCCAGUCAUCCGGGCAGCUGCCUCUCAGCCCCACGCUGCCUACAGCCAGCUGCUUGCUCCCUAUACCCAUUUUACAAACUCACGUGUUUAGGGCUUAUGGUGAGCCUGGCACUAUUCUAAGUGCCUCGUGUAUAUGAACUACACAUAUACAGUCUGGAAGGCUGACAUUAUUACUAUGUCCAUUUCACAGAUAAGGAGUCUGAGGCUCAAGUUAAGGAAUUCGCCCAAGGCCACACAGCUGGCAGACAGACGGCUGAGCCAGGAUUCCUAGCGAGACCUCUGCUCCAGAUCCAUCCACGUGCUCCACGCACACACGGAGCUCUUUUGACCUUGAGGUGGGGGACCAGCCUGCAUCUCAUCGCUCCAGAGCCCAAGGUGGCCAAGGAGCUGGUCUGGUCACCCUUCUGCUGAUGGAAAGGAAUUAGAAGGUAAGUCUCCAGAACCUUCUGCACCCAGCGCCUUUCAGAACCAAGUCUCUCCUAUUUGUCCUUUAAACUGGGGGGCAGGGAUCCCAGAAGGAGAUUUUUCUGGCUACUUUAAACCAAGACACAUGUGUCAAGGAGCUGCUGUGUGCCAGGUUCUACCACGCUAGUCAUUCUAAGAAGUCCGAGUCGAUGCUCC
rnacentral:lncRNA from 1 species